GGGCCCGCACAAGCGGUGGAGCAUGUGGUUUAAUUCGAUGCAACGCGAAGAACCUUACCAGGGCUUGACAUACUACGAAUCCUUUUGAAAAAAGGAGUGCCUUCGGGAAUGUAGAUACAGGUGGUGCAUGGCUGUCGUCAGCUCGUGUCGUGAGAUGUUGGGUUAAGUCCCGCAACGAGCGCAACCCUUAUUUUAGUUACCAAUUCGUUGGGUUCUCUAGAAAGACUGCCGGUGACAAACCGGAGGAAGGUGAGGAUGACGUCAAGUCAGCAUGCCCCUUAUGUCCUGGGCUACACACGUGCUACAAUGGUGGAGACAAAGAGUUGCGAGCUCGCGAGAGUAAGCUAAUCUCAUAAACUUCGCCUAAGUUCAGAUUGCAGGCUGCAACUCGCCUGCAUGAAGUUGGAAUCGCUAGUAAUCGC
rnacentral:rRNA from 1 species